rnacentral:rRNA from 1 species
UACGAAGGGGGCUAGCGUUGCUCGGAAUCACUGGGCGUAAAGCGCACGUAGGCGGAUUGCUAAGUCAGGGGUGAAAUCCUGGAGCUCAACUCCAGAACUGCCCUUGAUACUGGCGGUCUCGAGUCCGGGAGAGGUGAGUGGAACUGCGAGUGUAGAGGUGAAAUUCGUAGAUAUUCGCAAGAACACCGGUGGCGAAGGCGCCGCUCUGGGCCGAAACUGACGCUGAGGAGCGAAAGCAUGGGUAGCAAACAGG